rnacentral:rRNA from 1 species
UACGUAGGGGGCAAGCGUUAUCCGGAUUUACUGGGUGUAAAGGGAGCGUAGACGGCCAUUCAAGCCAGAUGUGAAAGCCCGGGGCUCAACCCCGGGACUGCAUUUGGAACUGUAUGGCUGGAGUGCCGGAGAGGCAGGCGGAAUUCCUAGUGUAGCGGUGAAAUGCGUAGAUAUUAGGAGGAACACCAGUGGCGAAGGCGGCCUGCUGGACGAUGACUGACGUUGAGGCUCGAAAGCGUGGGGAGCAAACAGG